GGAGGAAUAGCGAAGUGGUCAUAACGCGGCGGUCUUGAAAACCGUUUGGGCGCGAGCCCCCGGGGGUUCGAAUCCCUCUUCCUCCGCCA
rnacentral:tRNA from 1 species